rnacentral:rRNA from 1 species
UACGUAGGGGGCAAGCGUUGUCCGGAUUUAUUGGGCGUAAAGAGCGUGUAGGCGGCCGCACAGGUCCGUUGUGAAAACUGGAGGCUCAACCUUCAGACGUCGAUGGAAACCGUGCGGCUAGAGUCCGGAAGAGGAGAGUGGAAUUCCUGGUGUAGCGGUGAAAUGCGCAGAUAUCAGGAAGAACACCCGUGGCGAAGGCGGCUCUCUGGGACGGUACUGACGCUGGAGACGCGAAAAGCGUGGGAGCGAACAGG